rnacentral:rRNA from 1 species
GUGGGGAAUAUUGGGCAAUGGGCGAAAGCCUGACCCAGCAACGCCGCGUGAAGGAAGAAGGUCUUCGGAUCGUAAACUUCUAUCCUUGGUGAAGAUAAUGACGGUAGCCGAGAAGGAAGCCCCGGCUAACUACGUGCCAGCAGCCGCGGUAAUACGUAGGGGGCAAGCGUUGUCCGGAAUGAUUGGGCGUAAAGGGCGCGUAGGCGGCCUGGUAAGUCUGGAGUGAAAGUCCUGCUUUUAAGGUGGGAAUUGCUUUGGAUACUGUCGGGCUUGAGUGCAGGAGAGGUAAGUGGAAUUCCCGGUGUAGCGGUGAAAUGCGUAGAGAUCGGGAGGAACACCAGUGGCGAAGGCGGCCUGCUGGACAUUAACUGACGCUGAGGCGCGAAAGCGUGGGGAGCAAACAGGAUUAGAUACCCUGGUAGUCC